rnacentral:rRNA from 1 species
UACGUAGGUGGCAAGCGUUAUCCGGAAUUAUUGGGCGUAAAGAGCGCGCAGGUGGUUGAUUAAGUCUGAUGUGAAAGCCCACGGCUUAACCGUGGAGGGUCAUUGGAAACUGGUCGACUUGAGUGCAGAAGAGGGAAGUGGAAUUCCAUGUGUAGCGGUGAAAUGCGUAGAGAUAUGGAGGAACACCAGUGGCGAAGGCGGCUUUCUGGUCUAACCCUGACGCUGAGGAGCGAAAGCUAGGGGAGCAAACGGGAUUAGAUACCCCGGUAGUCCCU